rnacentral:rRNA from 1 species
GAUGAACGCUGGCGGCGUGCCUAAUACAUGCAAGUCGAGCGAAUGGAUUAAGAGCUUGCUCUUAUGAAGUUAGCGGCGGACGGGUGAGUAACACGUGGGUAACCUGCCCAUAAGACUGGGAUAACUCCGGGAAACCGGGGCUAAUACCGGAUAACAUUUUGAACCGCAUGGUUCGAAAUUGAAAGGCGGCUUCGGCUGUCACUUAUGGAUGGACCCGCGUCGCAUUAGCUAGUUGGUGAGGUAACGGCUCACCAAGGCAACGAUGCGUAGCCGACCUGAGAGGGUGAUCGGCCACACGGGGACUGAGACACGGACCAGACUCCUACGGGAGGCAGCAGUAGGGAAUCUUCCGCAAUGGACGAAAGUCUGACGGAGCAACGCCGCGUGAGUGAUGAAGGCUUUCGGGUCGUAAAACUCUGUUGUUAGGGAAGAACAAGUGCUAGUUGAAUAAGCUGGCACCUUGACGGUACCUAACCAGAAAGCCACGGCUAACUACGUGCCAGCCGCCGCUGUAA